AUGCCACUACGCUCAGCAAAUUUUUUGCAUUGUUAGUAGAGAGGAGAGGCUUCUGUAGUGGGAGGUGGUUUCUGUGUUCCCCGAGACACCACACAAUGGGAAGCCCCUUCCCCCACAAGGAGCAGUGGUUGGAUACUGGGGGUCCAGUUUUAAUUGUCAUCAUACUAAACACUCCAUAAUAAUAAUAGCUUCCAUUUCGAAGGGGGCCUCUCCUGUCUGGAAAGCUCUUCCCCCAGGAAUCCAUUCACAGGGUUCAAAUGUCACCUUUUCGUUGACACCUUCUCAACCACUUUAUUUAAAAUUAGGCCUGGCUCCCUCUCCCGUCACCCUCUCCCGUCUCCGUCUCCCGUCUCCCGUCUCCCGUCUCCCAUCUCCCGUCUCCCUCUCCCUCUCCUUUCCACGGUCUCCCUCUCAUGCCGGGCCAUCUCCCGUCUCCCUCUCCCUCUCCUUUCCACUGUCUCCCUCUCAUGCCGGGCCAAAGCUGGACUGUACUGCUGCCAUC
rnacentral:lncRNA from 1 species